rnacentral:rRNA from 1 species
UACGGAGGGGGCUAGCGUUGUUCGGAAUUACUGGGCGUAAAGCGCACGUAGGCGGUUUCCUAAGUCAGAGGUGAAAGCCCAGGGCUCAACCCUGGAAUUGCCUUUGAGACUGGGAGACUUGAACACGGGAGAGGUGAGUGGAAUUCCGAGUGUAGAGGUGAAAUUCGUAGAUAUUCGGAAGAACACCAGUGGCGAAGGCGGCUCACUGGACCGUUGUUGACGCUGAGGUGCGAAAGCGUGGGGAGCAAACAGG